rnacentral:rRNA from 1 species
CGGAGGUGCAAGCGUUAAUCGGAAUUACUGGGCGUAAAGGGUGCGUAGGUGGUGAGAUAAGUUAUCUGUGAAAUCCCUGGGCUCAACCUGGGCAGGUCAGAUAAUACUGUUUCACUCGAGUAUGGGAGAGGGUAGUGGAAUUUCCGGUGUAGCGGUGAAAUGCGUAGAGAUCGGAAGGAACACCAGUGGCGAAGGCGGCUACCUGGCCUAAUACUGACACUGAGGCACGAAAGCGUGGGAGCAAACAGGAUU